UUUUAGGAUGUUGAUGUGUGAUUAAUGAUGGUAGUAGUUUUUAAUUAAUGAAAUCGUAGAUGAUGAAAGCUACGUUCACAGGGCUGACAUGUGUGUAUGCUCGUGUGUUGCGCUUCAAUCACAGGGUUGAUUGACUGUUAAGUUGGAAGUCACAGAGAUGACUGCCGUUGAACACUUGUCUCAGGGAUGGCUGAAGUGUGUAUCUUAUGUUUGGUCACAGGGAUGACCUGGUUUCUGUUUGUCAAUUAAAACCUCAAAUUGAAAUAUUUCAGUUUUCCGUCAUUUGAUUGAAUUGUGCAUCAGACUAUAAAUUUUUGGUAAGGUGUUACGUCCACCGUUGCGUUAAGUUGUACCAAUGAUGGAUACCGGGGUGACUUGGAAAAGACCCGAUGGCCUGUGUGAUGGCAUCGGGGUGACCAAGAAGAGACCUGUGUAAAGUCUGCGGUACUGUUGUUUUUAUUGUGUUAAGCUGUACCUAUGAUGGGUAUCGGGGUGACCUGGAAGAGACUCGUUGGCCUGUGUGACGGCAUCGGGUUGACCAGGAAGAGACUCGUAUACAUCUGUGGUACAGUUAGUGUCAUGUCACUGUGGUUGUGGUUGUGGGCCCUAGGAGGCCAGGAUGGGCUGAGAGCUCGGCUAAGGGACACAACGGUCAUGUGAAGCCUAGCGAGUAGAAGGCGUUGAUGUGAAUGACAACCGUAGCUGUAAUGAUUUAGUAAUUUACAAGUUGAGUCUGACUAGCAAUUCGAUCUUUCUUUGAUUUCGUGCUUAGUAUUUAAUGUAUCUAGUUUCUUCAUUCAAUUAGUGAUUGCUGUUCUUUAAAUCUGUAACAUGUGUGUGGGUCUCACUAUCUUGCAUAACCGGAAGGUCAGUUGCUGACCCAUAUGUUGUCAAUAUUUGAUCGGUUGCCUAAGCACUUUCUAUUUCUGGCUUAACAGAUAUCAUCUUGAGAACAGAACGAGAUCGACUAAGAGGGCGCCGUGCGAGGUGUUGCUGCACAUGCUGCGUAUGCUGGCUUCGACUGCACUUCUAGAAUCCGAGACGGCGCUUGACACUGCAGUGGUAACGUCGGUGCUAUGGUGGACUGAGUUGAUGGGUUUGUGGCCGAGUUGACGAGGUUUAUCGCUACGUCAUGAUCAGGUGGUCUGUUUUGUUAUUUAUAUAGUAUGGAGACGGGGGAGAGUAAAUUAAUGUGGACCAUGUGGGUUUACUUUACUACUGUGGCUUCUAAUGUAACUAUGGACUUAGGAGGCCGAGACGGCGGUUCACGACCAUGGAAUUUAGAAAGUAUCAUGUGAUGAUGACAGUUACGUCGACAAUGCUGAUUUUGUGGUUUAUGUACUUUGACAUACCUACCUAACUGAUGGCUUCUGAAAGUGAUGAUUGGCGACUAACUUAACCGUUACUGAUUAUGUGUACUGUGGGGACAGAUGUUCCAUUACAUGUGACAGAUCUUGGGGACUGGUUCGCAGGGCCGUUGACACGUAUCUAGUGUGACUGAUGAAUGACUGAGUGAAUAACAGGAACUGGCCCUCUGGGUCGAUGUUCCACGACCUGUGUUAACUGUGACUGAUUGUCGUGUGUGCUCACUGGGACGCUGUAGCACGGCAUGGGGGUCAUGUUAAGAGCUGGCUUAUCUUGGUUGUAGGUUCUGGUGACUCUAACCAUGUCGCUUAGCACAGUCCAGUGGGACUUGACUAUUUGACUUGGCCGCGAGGCGGCGUGUGUUGCCAUGUGAGUUGGCGUUGUGAGUUGGCCACGAGGUGUCGUGUGGUGCCAUGAGAGUUGGCAUUGUGACUUGGCCGCGUGGCGGCGUGGACAGAGUUUGACGACUGAGAACAAGAGACAGAGUUUGGCGACUGAGAACAAGAGACAGAGUUUGACGAUAGGGUGACAUGUGGUCCGGAGUGUGAUAACAAAGGACAUGUGGUCCGAAUGCGAUGACAAAGGACAUGAGGUCCGAGAGUGACGACAAAGGACAUGAGGUCCGAGAGUGACGUUGGGUAACGAGUAGUCAGAGCUUGAUGAUGAAGUACUAGUGGUCAGAGAUGGACGAGCGUGUGACAUGUUUGUACAGGCUGUUCUUCAUUACAGAUUGAAGCGACAGAGAAGCUGGAGUCACAGAGGCGCACGAGGACGUGCGAAAGUCAGUAUGGCCGUGACGGCGCUUCGAUAAAUCGUGGUGGUUCUCCAAAGAGUGUUAGGUGCAAUGGGAAUCAUCCAAGGAGGUUUAUUGUAGGCUCAUUGUACCUCUCGCUCUUGACACAACACUGAGCACUGGCAGCCUAGAAAAGUAAUGACAACCGUUCCUUUUGUUUCUGAUGACAGUCAGUCAGUCAGAUUGGUUCGGGCUUUUGCGAAUGGUGGUCACGUGAUCUGUGGCGUGUCGAUGGAGUUCUGUAUUUCCUAUUUUACAUGAUUAUUGAGAAUUAUUGGAUGUUAAGCUUUGAAGUGUGAUUAAAGCACUGAUUGUAUUGUAA
rnacentral:lncRNA from 1 species